AAUUCAUGUAAUUAUGUUGUCUUAACGUCGCAGAUGAAAAGGCCAAAAGACGUAUUUUCCUCGGGAGCUAAAUAGCAUUUUACCGGCAUUUUUUAUUUUGUUUUAGUUUGCAACGCUUCACUAAUUUUUAAAAAGCCACUUGUGUACACAGACAACGCGUGUAUUCCUUUUACAUCGAAGAAAAACACUGUUAUAGCAGAAUGAAAACGUCGCUUAUCCGUAUUUUAAUCUUUAUCAAACACUUGGUGAACUUUGUUCACAAAACCAAGCGUGCGCAUUUAUCCAGACAAACAGUAGCCUACCUAGAAUUUAAAGUUUGUUUUCCCCCAUUAUUUUCCAGAGUGUGUCUAGAGAUUGUUCUUAUAUUCUUGGUAAAACAUUUCCUUUGCAACUAAUGCUUUUUAGUUUCAGUGGGCUGUAAAUUGUGUUGUUUUUGAGUUUUCAGUUUAGUGUCUUUGGGCUGGACAUGACUCGCACUUAAUGGAAGAAGAAAAUUUGGUGUCUUCGGGCAGGACAUGCUUGGCUCAGCUGCUGAAAUUAUCUAUGAAUUGCAACGAAUUUCCAGUCUUCUUUCCGGUCGCUGCCUCGACUGAAACCUCGGAGAAAAAGUAACGUGCUGUAUGUUUCUGUUUUAACAUGUAGUUGCUUGCAAAUGUU